CCUGCUUCGUGUACAAAUGCAAUGAUAUUUCGGCAGGGCUAUAGGCUACGAAACCUUUCAAACUCGAAAAGGACGAACAAAUUUUAAAGAAAAAAGAUCGAUGUAACUCGUCAAGCAGAAUCCGAGAAGAAAAGGGUGCUGUUUGCUGACAAUCCGACCCUGCUUCGUGUACAAAUGCAAUGCCAUUUCGGUCAAGCGGAAUCCGAGAAGAAAAAUGACGGAUGUGCUGUUUGCUGAUAGUCCAGCCCUACUUCGUGUACAAAUGCAUGGCGGAGAGAGCAGAAAGUUUUCGAAACUGCGUGAGUGGAAGUCUGCGUUGGACAAAUUUUGAAAAUAUCUGAAGGUUUAACGAAUUUUGGAGAAUUCGACAGAGCUACAGACUACGAAACCUUUCGAAACGAACACACGUGUCCUGUAGAACUUGAAAAAGACGAAAUUAUUUUUAAAAAGAUCAUGGUAAUUCGUGAAGCAACAUCUCAGAAUUGAAUCGGCGAGUUGUGUAUUUGCUGACAAUCCGAGCCUGCUCCGUUUAGAUUUGCUUAACGAGGAAUCAAAAAAUCAAAAAAAAGGUUAACGAUUUGGAUCAUUUUGGAAGAUACAUACGCCGCGCUUUUCAAAGCGGACAGACGUGCCCUUGUCCAACUUGACAAAGGCGGAAUUAUUUUAGGAAAGGUAUAUUAUUUUUAAAAAAAUAUACAAUUUUUUAAGUAACAUAUUUGACGGACCAUGGCAACUAGUAAAGCAGAAUCCGAGAAUUCAAUCGGCGGCUGUAUGUUGACUGACAAGAAUAUAAUUGCUGUUAAUCCGGCCCUGCUUCGUGUACAAAUGCAUAGUGGGGAGACAUGAACAUUUUUUGAAAUUGCGGCCCUAUCCUCUUGGGAUUCUACGUUGGACAAAUUCUGAAAACG